AAGCCGCGUCUUAGGCUCUGUGACGCGCCACCGUCGCGCUGCUGUGCUGUCGACGACGCGUGUCCCCGGCCGGCGUCGGAAGCCCCGCCAGGAGUUAUUGGAUCCUCUGAACACCAUCCCUGCAUCUCAGAUUAAAAAUCUGUAUUCUCAUCUGAACUGUGGGAAGAAAGGAUAGUUGGUCGGUGGUAUUCCUACUUGAAGGACACGAUGUUUUCCAGACUAGCUCAUCUGCAGACCAUUGCUGUGCUUCGUCGUGGAGUUCAUUCCUCAGUGGCUUCUGCUACGUCUGUUGCGACUAAAAAGACAAUCCAAGGCCCUCCAUCUUCCGAUUACAUUUUUGAGCGAGAAUCUAAA